CUUCACUUCACUUGUUCUACAUCUUCCUAAGUAACUAUCAGCAACUAUCAAAUUAGUUUAUUUCUCUUUCUGUUUCUUUUUUUUCUUUUCAGUAAAGAGUGGAGCAAAGUUACUUGAAUGAAAAUUGUUGGUCUAAGUGGUAUUUACAUACAACAUUUCUGAUACAUCUGAAAUGGAAGUAAACAAGCCUUGUCUGAAAAAUCCACCUUCUAUUCAGGGACCACCUUCUUCAAGCCCAGAAGCAGUACAUCCCAAGAAAAAGGAAGACAGAAAAGAAUGCCAGGAGGCCUCCCUGGAUCAACAAUGAGCUCCUGGACUUCCUUAAAUGCUAAAUGAAAGACAACAGGAAGUGGAAGUGGGAACAGUUUACCUGGGAGAACUACAAAGAUGCUGUCCAAGCAGCCAGGGAUCAGGUUAGGAUUUAAUUCCAGAUGGAAUUAAAUCUAGUCAGAGACAUAAGGAGGAACAAGAAGAAGAAAUUCUACAGGUUUAUCAAUGAUAAAAGGAAGGCCAAGGAAUACGUGUGAUCUCUCUGGACAGAAACUGGAGACCUGGUCACAAGGGAUACAGAGAAAAGUGAGGUGCUCAAUGACUUCUUUGC
ensembl:lncRNA